rnacentral:rRNA from 1 species
CCUACGUGAGGCAGCAGUGAGGAAUAUUGGUCAAUGGGCGCGAGCCUGAACCAGCCAAGUAGCGUGAAGGAUGACUGCCCUACGGGUUGUAAACUUCUUUUAUAAAGGAAUAAAGUGAGGCACGUGUGCCUUUUUGUAUGUACUUUCUGAAUAAGGAUCGGCUAACUCCGUGCCAGCAGCUGCGGUAAUACGGAGGAUCCGAGCGUUAUCCGGAUUUAUUGGGUUUAAAGGGAGCGUAGAUGGGUUGUUAAGUCAGUUGUGAAAGUUUGCGGCUCAACCGUAAAAUUUCAAUUGAUACUGGCAGUCUUGAGUACAGUUGAGGUAGGCGGAAUUCGUGGUGUAGCGGUGAAAUGCUUAGAUAUCACGAAGAACUCCGAUUGCGAAGGCAGCUUACUAAACUGCCACUGACAUUGAUGCUCGAAAGUGUGGGUAUCAAACAGGAUUAGAUACCCUUGUAGUC